GAUAGGAGGUGAAAAGCAAAAGCAGUCAUAGUGCUCCAUACCAGAGCAAACUGUGGCUCUGAACCAUUGCCUGGCCUCUGCCUAUAGGCUGCUGGCACUGAAAUGUGUUUCAGAGUG
rnacentral:snoRNA from 1 species